rnacentral:tRNA from 4 species
GGGGCUGUAGCUCAGUUGGUAGAGCGCAUCGUUCGCAAUGAUGAGGUCAGGGGUUCGAUUCCCCUCAGCUCCACCA